rnacentral:rRNA from 1 species
CCUACGGGAGUCAGCAGUGAGGAAUAUUGGUCAAUGGACGAGAGUCUGAACCAGCCAAGUAGCGUGAAGGAUGACUGCCCUAUGGGUUGUAAACUUCUUUUAUAAAGGAAUAAAACGAGGCACGUGUGCCUUUUUGCAUGUACUUUAUGAAUAAGGAUCGGCUAACUCCGUGCCAGCAGCCGCGGUAAUACGGAGGAUCCGAGCGUUAUCCGGAUUUAUUUGGUUUAAAGGGAGCGUAGAGGUGUUGUUAAGUCAGGUGUGAAAGUUUGCGGCUCAACCGUAAAAUUGCAAUUGAUACUGGCAGUCUUGAGUACAGUUGAGGUAUGCGGAAUUCGUGGUGGAGCGGUGAAAUGCUUAGAUAUCACGAAGAACCCCGAUUGCGAAGGCAGCUUACUAAACUGUGACUGACAUUGAUGCUCGAAAGUGUGGGUAUCAAACAGGAUUAGAUACCGCUGUAGUC